rnacentral:rRNA from 1 species
AUUGAACGCUGGCGGCAGGCCUAACACAUGCAAGUCGAGCGAGCGGCGGACGGGUGAGUAAUGUAUGGGGAUCUGCCCGAUAGAGGGGGAUAACUACUGGAAAGAGUGGCUAAUACCGCAUACUAUUGGAGCGGCCGAUAUCGGAUUAGCUAGUUGGUGGGGUAAAGGCCCACCAAGGCAACGAUCCGUAGCUGGUUUGAGAGGACGACCAGCCAAACUGGGACUGAGACAGGGACCAGACUACUACGGGAGGGAGCAGUGGGGGAUGUUGGACAAUGGGGGAAACCCUGAUCCAGCCAUCCCGCGUGUAUGAGAAGGCCUUCGGGUUGUAAAGUACUUUUGGCAGAGAAGCGGUAUCUGCAGAAUAAGCACCGGCUAACUACGUGCCAGCAGCCGCGGUAAUUC